rnacentral:rRNA from 1 species
GGUUAAGCGACUAAGCGUACACGGUGGAUGCCCUGGCAGUCAGAGGCGAUGAAGGACGUGCUAAUCUGCGAUAAGCGCCGGUAAGGUGAUAUGAACCGUUAUAACCGGCGAUUUCCGAAUGGGGAAACCCAGUGUGACUCGUCACACUAUCAUUAACUGAAUCCAUAGGUUAAUGAGGCGAACCGGGGGAACUGAAACAUCUAAGUACCCCGAGGAAAAGAAAUCAA